CCUCCACAGCCUUCAAGCGAAACAUAACCCAGACAGCACAUGUACGUCUGGCCGACGUCGGCCCAAUAUCUAAACGUCGGCCUCUAUACCUAAAACAUCUAUAAAACAUCGGCCUGGCGAAGGCCGAUAUAAUUUGGUCAGUGCUCUGUUCUCCAGCUCAUCAAUCGUCGGCCCUGAGUUGGUUCACGACCGCGGGCCGAUGCCGCGCUUCUCUGUGUGCGCGUGCCCAGUAUUCGUCUCUUUUAGCCACCCAGAGAGAGAGAAGAGGAUAAUCCCAGCGACAUCUGUGGCUCUCAGGCUUUCAGAAAUAAUCCGGUGAAAUAAUAUGAUGUUUGUGUAAAUGCUGUGUGUGCGUUGAGUCCUGCGCGAGCGGGGAGCAGAGUUGCCAUGGAAACGGGGCAUCAACACAAAAACCGUUACUGGCAAGCAGUAAUCUCCGUCUCUCGCUGCGGUUUACACUGUUUUGGAAACGGUUUAGUGUCUUCGGAAAAGUCCGUUAUAAUUUUAGCAGUUUUCAGAUGUUUGUUUGUGUAAAUGCUGUGUGCGCGUUGAGUCCUGCGCGAGCGGGGAGCAGAGUUGCCAUGGAAACGGGGCGUCAACACAAAAACCGUUACUGGCAAGCAAUAAUCUCCGUCUCUCGCUGCGGUUUACACUGUUUUAGAAAUGGUUUAGUGUCUUCGAAAAAGUCCGUUAGCAUCUUAGCAGUUUUCAGGAGGACAGAAAGAAACUCUACAGAACAGAAGUGAAGCUCCAAGAUUUCAACAUUUCUGAAGGGAGAUUCUGACUUAGAAAUACAGGUGACCUGAAGAAGCUCAUGAAAUACAUUAAUAUGCCUUUUUCAGAAUACAUUUCACCAAUUUUAAGAAGUCCCUGACAUCAUAACCUUGUUUCCUUCUAAUGAACCUGGAACUGCAGAGUAAAUAUUGUUGACUCUGUGUCAGAUUGCUUGUUUUGUUCCUGGACUCUUCAGUGAUGAUGAGCAGAGUCUGAGUGAACCUGCUGUCAGACAGGUUGGCCUGAUUGACGAUGCCAUCGUCCAUCGCCGAUGGCUGAUAGACAUCACGAUGCUGCGCCGGAAACAGCGUCAUCAGCUCCAGUAUCUCGCCCGUGCAUCCGUUGUCAUGCAACAGAGAAGUCACGUUCUAUAGACAGUUUCUAUAGACAGUUGUGAACGUGCUGACAGCUGGUUGCCCAGGCUAUGGAUUAAAGGUAAUACUGUUGGCCAGCAGAGCCCUGCUCACCCUGACGGCCCACCGCUGCUGUCAGACAACAUCUCCAAGAUGCUAUAAACUGCAGGACUAGAUGGCCAUCCCAAGGUUUCUAGAGAUUACAGCAGCUCCAGACUGAAUCCAAACUCACUUUUGAAGACUUCAGAUGACACCAACGCUCACAAAGACUACAGACGACAACUGUACAUGAACACACAAAACAUUGGACACACAAAACAAAUAUUAUCCUUAUUUUGCCUAUAAGGGUAAAUUUGAUGAUUUUCAAACUGCUUUAUUGUAACGUCUCUUUUAUUUGUAAAUGAUCAAUAUUUACUCUCUGAGUUAUGUGGACCUACAUGUCCCCUUUUAUUUGUAAGCAUCACUUUAAAAAUGUUGAAAGAUAAUGUUAAUGUUAACUGAAUACAAAACUAGAGACUUGUUUAGUAAGAUUUUAUCAGAAAAUAUUUUUGAACUUUUAUCAUGCAAUUUAAAACAUUUUAAUUGCUUAAUUAGUAUUGUUUGCCUGGUUUUAUUUUGUGUUUAUGUAACUCUUUUUAAAAAGUUCUUGGCAUAAAGUUCGCAUGUGAUGCUGACAGCACUGAACACAUGACUUUUUAUUAUGAACUAGAUGGUCUUCCCAGUGAGUCUCAGUCAUCUCUGGCUUUUUAAACUGUAACCUUGAAACAUGCAUUUCCUGUAAACCUACUUUGAAAUAAGUAUUGUCAAAAGGUGCUAUACUCAUACAACAUUUAACCAUGCAAGGACUGUAGUAAUGGUUAUUUUUGUUUUUACUAUGGGUUUACUGCAAAAGCUGUAGUAAAAUCAUGGUGAUUGUAGUAAAACUAUGGUUGAUUUUGUUUUUUCUAUGGUUUCACUGCAAAAGCUGUAGUAAAAUCAUGGUUAAUGUUCAAAAGACUACAAAUAAUCCCGAAUUAUCCACUUUUGAUCAAAGCAUCUGGUAAAUGUUAAUGUAUUUGUACAUGUAAUAUGAAAUAAAUGAAAAUAUUAAUAAAGUUGCAUCUGUUCUUGA